rnacentral:tRNA from 1 species
GGAGGCGUAUCCGAAUGGCACAGGAAACAGACUUAAAAUCUGUCGGCUUUGAUUAGCUUGCGCGUUCAAAUCGCGUCGCCUCUACCA